CCCUUCUUUCCAAAGCAUCCUGCUAAAAUCACGAAUCCUAAGUCUUUCUGGCCUAGGGUUUGUGGUCAUGCUAGCAGUGGUUCUACCAAAGAAGGAAGAGCAAAAGCACAACAGUCGGAAAUGAGUCCGGGAGGGACCUCUUUCUUAAUGUCCAGUGUCCUCGAUCUCAAGAUUUUGUGUCAUAUUU